rnacentral:rRNA from 1 species
UACGUAGGGUGCGAGCGUUAAUCGGAAUUACUGGGCGUAAAGCGUGCGCAGGCGGUUAUGUAAGACAGGUGUGAAAACCCCGGGCUUAACCUGGGAACUGCGCUUGUGACUGCAUAACUUGAGUGUGGCAGAGGGGGGUAGAAUUCCACGUGUAGCAGUGAAAUGCGUAGAGAUGUGGAGGAAUACCGAUGGCGAAGGCAGCCCCCUGGGUCAACACUGACGCUCAUGCACGAAAGCGUGGGGAGCAAACAGG